CAGUAGCCACGGGAAUACAGAGGGUGCGAGCGUUAAUCGGAUUUACUGGGCGUAAAGCGUGCGUAGGCGGCUAAUUGAGUCGGAUGUGAAAUCCCCGAGCUUAACUUGGGAAUUGCAUUCGAUACUGGUUAGCUAGAGUGUGGGAGAGGAUGGUAGAAUUCCAGGUGUAGCGGUGAAAUGCGUAGAGAUCUGGAGGAAUACCGAUGGCGAAGGCAGCCAUCUGGCCUAACACUGACGCUGAGGUACGAAAGCAUGGGGAGCAAACAGGAUUAGAUACCCGAGUAGUCCCUGUCUCUUAUAC
rnacentral:rRNA from 1 species